AAUACUGACACAAUGGUGUAACUCCUUAGCCCAUCAAAAAAAAAAAACUUCCGACUGCAUUAUUAUACUGUAGUAUAGUAUUAGUACAUUAGUUCAAAAUAUAGUUCUAUGCUAACAACUCUUUCCAGGCUGCAUAAACCUAGUUAGAUGCUCUCCUGACUUUCCCAUUUAAUUUGAAGCUAAUUUCUUUUGGGUGUUGUUAAGGCAUUUUUUACAUUUCAUGAAAGGCUUCAAAUGAGAUGAUAUUUAUUGUGAUUUCAUUGUAUAAUCCAAGUGGUUUAGGAGGAGGGUGCAGGGGGGGACUUAAUGUUUUUAGAGUAGAGUAUAAUUUUUCCCUAGUAAAUUGUUAGUUUAUGAAAUAAAUGGAAUCUUUAGGUAAAUUCAUCACAGCAUCUGGAAUGUUAGCAACAUAUGGCUCACUCUUUAUUCUUUCCUCUUGUCAUCUUUUUUUGAGACAGGGCCUCACUCUGUCACCCAGUCUGGAGUGCAGUGGUGCAAUCUCAGCUUACUGCAGCUUCUACCUUCCAGGCUUAAGCGAUCCGCCCACCUCAGCCUCCUGAGUAGCUAGGACUAGAGGCAUGCCACCACACCCAGUAAUUUGUUAUAUUUUUGUAGAGACAUGGGGUCUCACUGUGUUGGCCAGGCUAGUCUCAAAACUCUCCUGAGCUUCAAGCAGUCCACCAGCCUUGGCCUCCCAGAGUGUUUGGAUUACAAGCAUGAGCCACUGCACCUGGCCAACUCUUGUUUCUUACGAUUGCAAGCUGUUUAUGACCUGUAGAAUGGUUUGGUACGCAUCCCCUCAGGCUUCGUUUAUGUACAUACUUGUGUAUUGUGUUUCUGAAAAAAUCAAACCAUACAUGCUCAUCUUUUUGGCAAUUCAGAGCAUUCUAUUGAAUGGAAGGUGUGUCAACAUUACAAUUUUUUCUAGCUGAUAGACACAGUGUGGUUCCAGUUAUCCUUGUAUGUCAUGUUAUGAAUAUGUAAAUUUUUCUUAGAAUAAAUUCAUAGAAGGAAAGAUGCCAGGUUGCUUUUCGCCAGCACGAGUGCUUGUUUACCUACUUAAUUCUAAGGUUGAAAUUUUUUCUUUUGCAUUCUUUCCUACCCAUUCCCAAAAAUACUUGUAGUACUUGCUGUAAUUUUGUAAUUUCUAAGCGGUGUUUGGUCUAAUCAUUAUGUACUUUUCUUGUUAGUGACAUUUUGGCUAGUAUACAGCUCCCUUUUUAAACAACUUUGAUUUUAUGACAACUUUUCCAAAGUUUAAAACUUUUUUCUUCCCCUAGGCAAAUCCUGAUCCUAACUGUUGUCUUGGAGUAUUUGGGCUGAGCUUGUACACCACAGAAAGAGAUCUAAGAGAAGUGUUCUCUAAAUAUGGUCCCAUUGCCGAUGUGUCUAUUGUAUAUGACCAGCAGUCUAGGCGUUCAAGAGGAUUUGCCUUUGUAUAUUUUGAAAAUGUAGAUGAUGCCAAGGAAGCUAAAGAACGUGCCAAUGGAAUGGAGCUUGAUGGGCGUAGGAUCAGAGUUGAUUUCUCUAUAACAAAAAGACCACAUACGCCAACACCAGGAAUUUACAUGGGGAGACCUACCUAUGGCAGCUCUCGCCGUCGGGAUUACUAUGACAGAGGAUAUGAUCGGGGCUAUGAUGAUCGGGACUACUAUAGCAGAUCAUACAGAGGAGGAGGUGGAGGAGGAGGAGGAUGGAGAGCUGCCCAAGACAGGGAUCAGAUUUAUAGAAGGCGGUCACCUUCUCCUUACUAUAGUCGUGGAGGAUACAGAUCACGUUCCAGAUCUCGAUCAUACUCACCUCGUCGCUAUUAAAGCAUGAAGACUUUCUGAAACCUGCCCUAGAGCUGGGAUAUUGUUUGUGGGCAAUAUUUUUUAUUGUCUCUUGUUUAAAAAGUGAACAGUGCCUAGUGAAGUUAGGUGACUUUUACACCUUUUAUGAUGACUACUUUUGGUGGAGUUGAAAUGCUGUUUUCAUUCUGCAUUUGUGUAGUUUGGUGCUUUGUUCCAAGUUAAGUGUUUUCAGAAAAGUAUGUUUUGCAUGUAUUUUUUUACAGUCUAAAUUUUGACUGCUGAGAAGUUUCUAUUGUACAAAACUUCAUUUAAAAGGUUUUUCUACUGAAUCCAGGGUAUUCUGAAGAUCGAAGCCUGUAUAAAAUGCUACCAAAUGGCAAAAAGCAACAAUAAACAGUUUGAUUUUUACUUUUCUUUCUAACAUAUCAGUGCUUAGCAGAACUGUUCAGAUUGUCAGUAGUAAAUUUAAAGACAAAUGCCCGUUUUCCUCCAGUCCAUGAAACAUACCAUACUUAUAUACCUGCAACUAAGUGUUUAAAAUUAUGCUCUGUAACUCUGUACUGCUAGUAUUAGAACUAAAAAUCUUAAAAUACAGCCAGUGCUUAAUGCUUAUAUCAAUGUGGAUUUGUCGGCUUUUAUGUAAUCUGUAAUAUGUAUAGCAGGAAAUACGAAGAGUUACACAGUGUAUGCCUUAAAAGGCUGUUUCUUAAAGCUGUUACAAGGGGAUAAUGGUAUUUCAACUAGUUAUCAGCAAGUGACAAUACAUUCCACCACAAAUACACUCUUGUUCUUCUAGCUUUUAGACUAUAUGAAAAAACCGGGUGCUUCAAAGUACAUGAUAAGGGAACACUAUACCUGUGUCAUGGAUGAACUGAAGACUUUGCCUGUUCAUUUUUUAAAUAUUAUUUUCAGGUCCUUUGCUUACCAAAGGAGGCCCAAUUUCACUCAAAUGUUUUGAGAACUGUGUUUAAAUAAACGCAAAUGA
rnacentral:sRNA from 1 species